UUAGGUAGUAUGCUGGUAAAGCGUUUGUCAAUUUUUUUUAUAGCGUGUCCAGAUAAUUUAGAUGUAAAUGUCCUACAACUAUGUAAAAUCUCAGUGCCUGCAUUUCUGACUUAUGGGUAAAUAAACUGUUUUAUAUAAGUUUGAGCUCUGGUAAUUUUAGAAAACCUUUGGUUGUCCGAAGAAUCGGUCGGCUUUGUGACAAGAUCGUGCAGCCCAGAAUCACGAAAGAAGCUCAACCAAGUCCAAGUUACCAGCUCAACAAAUCCUAACCAUGGAAAUCAAGGAUAAUUGGAAUCACAAAGCUGGUUACAGACUUCGUCUGUCAACCCAGGAUGUUCCCUCUCAAGCUAUCUGCGUGUUCACCUGAAAGGGGCGGCGUUUGCAACGACGAGUUCCUCACACGAUAUUACGGGGAGAGGCAAGAGCAAUGCCUUUCCCUUUCAGGAAGCGAGUCAUUCUCAUGUCAAAAGAUGACGAGCAAUGAAAAUUGCAGACCUUGUCAAUGCUUCAAGGGAGUCCCAUGUCGCUUUCUGAGCUGCCAACACGAAUGCCAUCAAAUCCACAGACGAAGCUAAUUUGUGGUGAGAAUUCUAUUGCAAAAUGGCUGCCAUGCAUCACCCAGGUGGGUGCUACACAUCGG